UACGUAGGGGGCAAGCGUUGUCCGGAUUUAUUGGGCGUAAAGAGCGUGUAGGCGGCCAGGUAGGUCCGUUGUGAAAACUCGAGGCUCAACCUCGAGACGUCGAUGGAAACCAUCUGGCUAGAGUCCGGAAGAGGAGAGUGGAAUUCCUGGUGUAGCGGUGAAAUGCGCAGAUAUCAGGAGGAACACCGGUGGUGCAGACGGCUCUCUGGACCGUAACUGACGCUGAGACACGAAAGCGUGGGUAGCAAACAGG
rnacentral:rRNA from 1 species